UACGAAGGGUCCAAGCGUUAUCCGGAUUUAUUGGGUUUAAAGGGUGCGUAGGCGGCUUAUUAAGUCAGUGGUGAAAGACUUCAGCUUAACUGAAGAACUGCCAUUGAUACUGAUGAGCUUGAACAUACUUGAGGUUGGCGGAAUGUGUCAUGUAGCGGUGAAAUGCUUAGAUAUGACACAGAACACCGAUUGCGAAGGCAGCUAGCUAAAGUAUGAUUGACGCUGAGGCACGAAAGCGUGGGGAUCAAACAGG
rnacentral:rRNA from 1 species